AAAGAAAAACCAAAAAUAUCAGUCCGACACUACGACCCGUAGCAGUGGGCGGGAGAAGGUGGAAUCGGAUCUCACGACGUAUCCAACUACCGGUCAGACAGGGAUUUGGAGGAUGAGCAUUGCGUUCCAAAUAAGGGGUAAUUCCUACGCAUCGGAGCAAAACCUUCAACGACUGUUAGGCGGUAACGCCUCCUCCAUCUCCAUCCAUUCCCGCAAAACUCACAAAAAAAUCAAACCCCUCUCUCUCUCUCUUUUACUCUCUCUCUCUCUCUCUCUCUCAGCCAACCCAAAAUCACAGAGAAUUUCCUAGAUUUUUAGUAUAAACAUUCCUCUCUAAACCUUCCUUACGUCAAUGUCCUCCGACUCCAGCUCCUCAACCUCCGGCGACGACCCCAAAAGUGGGCAAGGUAGCCCCAAACCACUCGAACAUCAAUUUGCAUCCGUCGCAUUGAGUGAAGCGCCGGGAACUGUGGGUGGUUUCGAGCAAAGAGUUGACAACAAUUUUGAGGUUGAUGAGGUGGGACAGAGUGUCGAGCAUGGCGUGAUGUGGAAGAGGACAAAUUCGGAGCUGGAAGUGGAUGGGCAGUCGAGCCCGAGUAGCAGUGGCUAUGCCGGUGAAAGGGGCAGUACCGGUGCCAGCAGUGCUGCGUCGGGGAUUGACGGGAUUGUCGAGGAUGAGAUACAGCAAGCGAGGAAUGAUGAUUCAGUCGAUGGGUCUUCGGAUUUGUCGUCAUCUGGGGUGCCCGGCAAACGGCACCUCGAUGAGGAUGAUGCUUCCAUAUCAUGGAGAAAAAGGAAGAAGCACUUUUUUAUUCUAAGUAACUCAGGCAAACCAAUAUAUUCCAGAUAUGGAGAUGAACACAAGCUAGCAGGAUUUUCAGCAACGUUGCAGGCCAUUAUUUCCUUUGUGGAGAAUGGGGGGGACCAUAUCAAAUCGGUCAGGGCAGGAAAACACCAGGUGAUUUUUCUUGUGAAGGGACCCAUAUACUUAGUUUGCAUUAGCUGUACAGAGGAGCCUUAUGAGUCAUUGAGGGGUCAAUUGGAGCUAAUUUAUGGUCAGAUGAUUCUUAUUUUAACAAAGUCGGUAAAUAGGUGUUUUGAGAAGAAUCCGAAGUUUGAUAUGACACCCUUGCUUGGAGGAACUGAUGUUGUCUUCUCAUCUUUAAUCCAUUCUUUCAGUUGGAAUCCAGCAACAUUUCUUCAUGCAUACACAUGUCUUCCCCUUGCUUAUGCAACAAGGCAAGCUGCAAGUGCUAUAUUACAAGAUGUUGCCGAUUCAGGUGUUCUAUUUGCAAUAUUAAUGUGCAAGCACAAGGUUAUCAGUCUUGUUGGUGCUCAAAAAGCUUCGCUUCAUCCUGAUGACAUGCUACUACUUGCCAACUUUGUUAUGUCAUCAGAAUCAUUUAGGACUUCUGAAUCUUUUUCACCAAUUUGCCUGCCAAGAUAUAAUCCCAUGGCAUUUUUGUAUGCUUAUGUGCAUUACUUUGAUGUUGAUACAUACUUGAUUUUACUUACUACAAGUUCAGAUGCCUUCUAUCAUCUUAAGGAUUGCAGGAUUCGUAUUGAAGUGGUCCUUUUGAAGUCAAAUGUUCUCAGUGAAGUUCAGAGGUCCAUGCUAGAUGGCGGGAUGCAUGUCGAGGAUUUGCCUAUCGAUCCAUUGCCUCGUUAUGGAUCUUUAUCUUCACAUCUGGGCCAACCUACAGAUUCUCCUGAGGGAUUCAGAGAAUUUACAGGCAUUGGGGGUCCAGCAGGACUUUGGCAUUUCAUGUAUCGCAGUAUAUUUCUAGAUCAAUAUGUUUCUUCCGAUUUCUCACCACCAAUUAAUAAUCCACGACAGCAAAAGAGAUUAUACAGAGCUUACCAUAAACUUUAUGCUUCUAUGCAUGAUACAGGAGUUGGUCCCUACAAAACUCAGUUUAGAAGAGAUGAAAAUUAUGGGCACAAACACUGAGGCAGAGAUGAGAGCACUCCUUGAGGGCUUAAUGAUAUGUAUACAGAAGGGUUUUCUACAUGUGGAGGUAGAAUCAGAUUGUAUGGUUGUGGUAUGAUGGAUGCAAGGGCAAGGGUGCUGUCCGUGUUUUCGUAGGGAGCUGUGGGAUAAGACCAUAGAGUUUAAAAGAGAUCUGUCUAUCUCAUGCCACCAUGUGUUCCACGAGGUGAACCAAGUUGCAGACCAUUUGGCCAAGCUGGGAGCUACAGGGGAGAUGCGGAUUUAUAGUUGUUGGUCGAAUAUCCCACGGACAGCGCGAGGGUUCUACUCUGUUGGGCCACCCCAGAUUUUGAACUAUAUGCUGCCUUUGAUCCACUUGCAGAGAAGGCAUUAGCUAUAAAGACUUGCAACCGGAUUUCCCAAUGGGUGAAAGAUGUGGAAAAUGAA